UACAGAGGUCGCAAGCGUUAAUCGGAUUUACUGGGCGUAAAGCGUGUGUAGGUGGUUGUACAAGUCGGUUGUGAAAUCCCCGGGCUCAACCUGGGCCGGUCAGAUAAGACUGCUGAACUCGAGUAUAGGAGAGGGUAGUGGAAUUUCCGGUGUAGCGGUGAAAUGCGUAGAGAUCGGAAGGAACACCAGUGGCGAAGGCGGCUACCUGGCCUGAUACUGACACUGAGGCACGAAAGCGUGGGGAGCAAACAGG
rnacentral:rRNA from 1 species